GACGAACGCUGGCGGCGUGCCUAAUACAUGCAAGUAGAACGCAGUUGCGAACGGGUGAGUAACGCGUAGGUAACUUCCUCAUAGCGGGGGGAAACUAUCGGAAACGAUAGCUAAUACCGCAUACUGUGAGAUAGACCUGAUUUGUAUUAGCUAGUUGUUGAGGUAAAGGCUCACCCAGGCGACGAUACAUAGCCGCUCUGAGAGGGUGUACGGGCAACCUUGGACUGAGACAAGGCCCCGACUCCCUCUGGAGGCAGCAGUAGGGAAUAUUCGGAAAUGGGCGGAAGUCUGACCGAGCAACGCCGCGUGAGUGAAGAAGGUUUUCGGAUCGUAAAGCUCUGUUGUUAGAGAAGCGGUACCUACCGAGAAAGGGACGGCUAACUACGUGCCAGCCGCCGCGGUAAGAC
rnacentral:rRNA from 1 species